CCCCCGGUGGCUUAGAUGGUAAAGAAUCUGCUUGCAGUGCAGGAGACCCAGGUUCGAUGCCUGGAUUGGGAA
rnacentral:tRNA from 1 species